UGCCCCCUGGUGUAAUUGGCAACACGCCGGACUCUGGAUCCGGUUAUCGAGGUUCGAGUCCUCGGGGGGCAGCCA
rnacentral:tRNA from 2 species